rnacentral:rRNA from 1 species
UACGUUCCCGGGCCUUGUACACACCGCCCGUCAAGCCNUGGAAGCUGGGGGUGCCUGAAGGGUCGGUGACCGCAAGGAGCUGCCUAGGGUAAAACUAGUAACUAGGGCU